rnacentral:rRNA from 1 species
UACGGGGGGGGCAAGCGUUGUUCGGAAUUACUGGGCGUAAAGGGCUCGUAGGCGGCCUUCUAAGUCGAACGUGAAAUCCCCGGGCUCAACCCGGGAACUGCGUCCGAGACUGAAAGGCUUGAAUCCGGGAGAGGGAUGUGGAAUUCCAGGUGUAGCGGUGAAAUGCGUAGAUAUCUGGAGGAACAUCGGUGGCGAAGGCGGCAUCCUGGACCGGUAUUGACGCUGAGGCGCGAAAGCCAGGGGAGCAAACGGG